rnacentral:rRNA from 1 species
UACGUAGGUGGCAAGCGUUGUCCGGAAUUACUGGGUGUAAAGCGCGUGUAGGCGGCAGACCAAGUCGGCGGUGAAAGCGCCCGGCUCAACUGGGCGAGGUCCGUGGAAACUGGUCAGCUGGAGGACGGUAGAGGCGAGUGGAAUUCCCGGUGUAGAGGUGAAAUUCGUAGAUAUUGGGAAGAACACCGGUGGCGAAGGCGGCUCACUGGCUCAUUACUGACGCUCAGGCGCGAUAGCGUGGGGAUCAAACAGG